GGAUCAAGACCACCACUUCAUUGGGACCACCCCCCUUGAUCUUCCACUGUACACCGACCAGGCCCUGUGUCCAAAGCCCCCAAUGGCCAUCACCAAAGGCACCGGUCACCUCUUGGGGACAUCGUCUCGCCUGCCACUGCCACACUGGCCUCAUAGCUGGAGGUGGCUCUCCAACACCCCAAACAGUCCUGCCUCAGGGUCUUUCACCGGCUGUUCCCUCUGCCUAGAACGCUGUUCCCCCAGACACUGGCCCAGAGACAGAGCCCUGUCCAGCUCACUGAGUCCAGUGUGGCCUCAGGGUCUCUGCACAGGCUGUUCCUACUGCCCAGGAUGCUCGUCGCCCCAGAACCUGUCCUGGCAGAUCCUUCUUCUUGUUUUGGUGGACACAGCUCAAUGGUGACCUCAUCCCAGAGGCCUCUGCCAUUCCCCUCCCUCCCUCUGUUGUUUAGCUUUUU